rnacentral:rRNA from 1 species
CCUACGGGAGGCAGCAGUAAGGAAUCUUCCACAAUGGACGAAAGUCUGAUGGAGCAACGCCGCGUGCAGGAUGAAGGCUUUCGGGUCGUAAACUGCUUUUAUAUGGGAAGAUUAUGACGGUACCAUAUGAAUAAGGACCGGCUAACUACGUGCCAGCAGCCGCGGUAAUACGUAGGGUCCAAGCGAUAUCCGGAAUUACUGGGCGUAAAGCGUGUGUAGGUGGAUUAAUAAGUGUGAUGCGAAAUCCGGCGGCUCAACCGUUUGGACUGUGUCGCAUACUGUUAGUCUAGAGGACGGCAGAGGUAAGUGGAAUUACGGGUGUAGCAGUGAAAUGCGUAGAUAUCCGUAGGAACACCAAUGGCGAAGGCAGCUUACUGGGCCACACCUGACACUGAGACACGAAAGCGUGGGGAGCGAACAGGAUUAGAUACCCUGGUAGUCCACGCCGUAAACGAUGCAUACUAUUAGUAUAGGGUAGUACGACCCUCCGUGUNUGAGAAGACGUACGUACGACGUAAGUAAGUAGUCCGCCGUCGGGUAGGGGUACGGACGGACGGCGAACGAACGUUAAACCGUUAAACCUUAAACUUAAAGUAAGUUAAGUUACGGGUACCGGUUCGGUUAGGACGACGCCGACCGGACCGGACCGAACCGAACGGGGAAGGGGUUAAGGGUUAGG